CCGAGGCCUCAGAGAGCAUCUGUCUGCGGGAUGUGUGGACGGGUUUUGCGACUGGAAACAUCCACACCGUAUUCCUGAACACGAGUGGACCCCGUGUCUUUAGUCCAGGACUAAAACGAGCUAACAACACGGUGACAGACACACUGCUGAACGUGCUGUCACUUGUAGCCGUUGAACCCGAACCGGACCGGAAGCUGGACUUUGACUAGAGAGGACCUGAAGACAGCAGGUGGUUCAGACUGGAGGGUCCGUCCUUGCUCCCUACAUGCUUCAGCCUUCCCUUCAUCCACAGACAGCCAGUGUCAUCCUCCCUCUCUAAAUGACCCAGCAGUUUUGGAGCGGGGGUCCAUCUGUCCGGCCGUAAACUCUUCCUCCUCCUCCUCCUCC